rnacentral:rRNA from 1 species
GUGGCGAACGGGUGAGUAACACGUGAGCAAUCUGCACUUGACUCUGGGAUAACUGCGGGAAACUGUAGCUAAUACCGGAUAUUACCUUGGAAGGCAUCUUCUGGGGUGGAAAGAAUUUUGGUCAAGGAUGAGCUCGCGGCCUAUCAGCUAGUUGGUGAGGUAAUGGCUCACCAAGGCGACGACGGGUAGCCGGCCUGAGAGGGUGACCGGCCACACUGGGACUGAGACACGGCCCAGACUCCUACGGGAGGCAGCAGUGGGGAAUAUUGCACAAUGGGCGCAAGCCUGAUGCAGCAACGCCGCGUGAGGGACGACGGCCUUCGGGUUGUAAACCUCGUUUAGUAGGGAAGAAGCGACUGGGUUUUCCUGGGAGUGACGGUACCUGCAGAAAAAGCACCGGCUAACUACGUGCCAGCAGCCGCGGUAAUACGUAGGGUGCAAGCGUUGUCCGGAAUUAUUGGGCGUAAAGAGCUCGUAGGCGGUUUGUCGCGUCUGCUGUGAAAACCCGAGGCUCAACCUCGGGCCUGCAGUGGGUACGGGCAGACUAGAGUGCGGUAGGGGAGAUUGGAAUUCCUGGUGUAGCGGUGGAAUGCGCAGAUAUCAGGAGGAACACCAAUGGCGAAGGCAGAUCUCUGGGCCGUAACUGACGCUGA